rnacentral:lncRNA from 1 species
AAAGUUCAUUUUGUAAAAAGUUUAUUUGUCAUAUACAUAUAUAUAUAUGUUUUACAUUCAUAACAAACAUGAAUCAAAUAAACAAAUUUUGAUCCCAACUCUAUUAUCGUUCACUCAUCAUUUAUACAUCAACAAUCUCUACAGACACAGCAGAGAUGAAACAUAAUAGUAAACAGUUUCUGCAAACAUGACAUCCACUGAAUCAAAAUGUGAACAGCUUCUACAAAUAUGGUGGCCAUUGAAACAAAAUUGUAAACAUUUCUGAAUGGCAGCCACUGAAUCUAAAUUGUAAACAAUUUCUAGAAACAUUUCAGUAAUAGAAACUUAAUGGUAAUUAGUUGCUGCAUGGUGGCCACAUGAUCUAAAUUGUAAAGUUUUUGCAUGUCAGCCACUGAAUCUAAAUUGUUAACAGUUUCUGCAUGGCAGCCACUGAAUCUAAAUUGUUAACAGUUUCUGCAUGGCAGCCACUUUAUCUAAAUUGUAAACAUUUUCUGCAAACAUUGCAGCCACAGAAUCUAACUUGUUAACAAUCUCUGCAAAUAUUGCUAUCAUUGGAACUAAAUUGUAAAAUAUUUCUGCAUGGCAGCCACUGAAUCCAAAUUGUUAACAGUUUUUGAAUGGCAGCCACCAUAUCUAAAUUGUUAACAUUUCUGCAUGACAGCCACUGAGUCUAAAUUGUUAACAUUUUCUGCAUGGCAGUCACUGAAUCUAAAGUGGUUAACAGUUUCUGCAUGCGACUAUUGAAUCUAAAGUGUUAAGUUUCUGCAUGGCAGUCACUGAAUCUAAAGUGUUAACAGUUUCUGCAUGGCAGCUAUUGAAUCUAAAGUGUUAACAGUUUCUGAAUGGCAGCCACUUUAUCUAAAUUGUAAACAUUUUCUGCAAACAUUGCAGCCACA